AAUGAACGCUGGCGGCGUGGAUUAGGCAUGCAAGUCGAACGCGAAAGUUCCCUUCGGGGAGCGAGUAGAGUGGCGAAAGGGUGAGUAAUGCUUGGAUGACCUGCCCUCGAGACGGGGACAACAGUUCGAAAGGACUGCUAAUACCCGAUAGUCCGGUUUAGAUGCGUCUAGAUCGGUAAAUGGUGCUUCCGCUCGAGGAGGGGUUCAAGUCCUAUCAGCUUGUUGGUGAGGUAACGGCUCACCAAGGCGAUGACGGGUAGCCGGACUGAGAGGUUGGCCGGCCACAUGGGAACUGAGACACUGUCCUGACCUCCGUACGGGAGGC
rnacentral:rRNA from 1 species